UGAAAAUGUGAAACAAUCCACCAUUGCAUUGUCAAGCUAUUUCUGUACCAAGCUCAGGUCAUCUACCCAUAAAACCAUCACAACAGCAAAUGGAGCUGAAAAAAAGGUUCCCAGAAAUGACAGGGAACUUUGGGAGUGUGCAAAAUCAUUCACUAGGAAAGUCGCCAUCUGGAAUAAGAACAUAGUUCUAAUACCUGUCAACAAAGGGUAAUGUUGUAAACAAUUAUUGUUCAUCAAUAUAGAAUGAAAUUGUAUUUUGUGUAUAUUACAUGCAUGCAAAAUA